rnacentral:rRNA from 1 species
CUCAGGACGAACGCUGGCGGCGUGCUAAUACAUGCAAGUCGAACGCUUCUUUCCUCCCGAGUGCUUGCACUCAAUUGGAAAGAGGAGUGGCGGACGGGUGAGUAACACGUGGGUAACCUACCCAUCAGAGGGGGAUAACACUUGGAAACAGGUGCUAAUACCGCAUAACAGUUUAUGCCGCAUGGCAUAAGAGUGAAAGGCGCUUUCGGGUGUCGCUGAUGGAUGGACCCGCGGUGCAUUAGCUAGUUGGUGAGGUAACGGCUCACCAAGGCCACGAUGCAUAGCCGACCUGAGAGGGUGAUCGGCCACACUGGGACUGAGACACGGCCCAGACUCCUACGGGAGGCAGCAGUAGGGAAUCUUCGGCAAUGGACGAAAGUCUGACCGAGCAACGCCGCGUGAGUGAAGAAGGUUUUCGGAUCGUAAAACUCUGUUGUUAGAGAAGAACAAGGACGUUAGUAACUGAACGUCCCCUGACGGUAUCUAACCAGAAAGCCACGGCUAACUACGUGCCAGCAGCCGCGGUAAUACGUAGGUGGCAAGCGUUGUCCGGAUUUAUUGGGCGUAAAGCGAGCGCAGGCGGUUUCUUAAGUCUGAUGUGAAAGCCCCCGGCUCAACCGGGGAGGGUCAUUGGAAACUGGGAGACUUGAGUGCAGAAGAGGAGAGUGGAAUUCCAUGUGUAGCGGUGAAAUGCGUAGAUAUAUGGAGGAACACCAGUGGCGAAGGCGGCUCUCUGGUCUGUAACUGACGCUGAGGCUCGAAAGCGUGGGGAGCAAACAGGAUUAGAUACCCUGGUAGUCCACGCCGUAAACGAUGAGUGCUAAGUGUUGGAGGGUUUUCCGCCCUUCAGUGCUGCAGCAAACGCAUUAAGCACUCCGCCUGGGGAGUACGACCGCAAGGUUGAAACUCAAAGGAAUUGACGGGGGGCCCGCACAAGCGGUGGAGCAUGUGGUUUUAUUC